rnacentral:rRNA from 1 species
UUGGAGGGCAGUCUGGUGCCAGCAGCCGCGGUAAUUCCAGCUCCAAUAGCGUAUAUUAAAGUUGUUGCAGUUAAAAAGCUCGUAGUUGAAUUUCGGGAUCAAUAUAUCGGUCGUGCCUUGGUACGUACUGGUAUCAUUGGUUUCUCCUUUCUGACGAACCAUGAUGUCAUUAAUUUGGUGUUAUGGGAAGUUAGGACUGUUACUUUGAAAAAAUUAGAGUGUUUAAAGCAGGCUUUAGCUUGAAUACAUUAGAAUGGAAUAAUGAAAUAGGACGUUCGAACCUAUUUUGUUGGUUUCUAGGAUCAACGUAAUGAUUAAUAGGGAUAGUUGGGGGCAUUAGUAUUCAAUUGUCAGAGGUGAAAUUCUUGGAUUUAUUGAAGACUAACUACUGCGAAAGCAUUUGCCAAGGAUGUUUUCAUUAAUCAAGAACGAAAGUUAGGGGAUCGAAGACGAUCAGAUACCGUCGUAGUCUUAACCAUAAACUAUGCCGACUAGGGAUCGGAUGAUGUUAAUUUUUUAAUGACUCAUUCGGCGCCUUACGGGAAA